rnacentral:rRNA from 1 species
GAAUGGUAACAGGAAACAGCUUGCUGUUUCGCUGACGAGUGGCGGACGGGUGAGUAAUGUCUGGGAAACUGCCUGAUGGAGGGGGAUAACUACUGGAAACGGUAGCUAAUACCGCAUAACGUCGCAAGACCAAAGAGGGGGACCUUCGGGCCUGUUGCCAUCAGAUGUGCCCAGAUGGGAUUAGCUAGUAGGUGGGGUAACGGCUCACCUAGGCGACGAUCCCUAGCUGGUCUGAGAGGAUGACCAGCCACACUGGAACUGAGACACGGUCCAGACUCCUACGGGAGGCAGCAGUGGGGAAUAUUGCACAAUGGGCGCAAGCCUGAUGCAGCCAUGCCGCGUGUAUGAAGAAGGCCUUCGGGUUGUAAAGUACUUUCAGCGGGGAGGAAGGGAGUAAAGUUAAUACCUUUGCUCAUUGACGUUACCCGCAGAAGAAGCACCGGCUAACUCCGUGCCAGCAGCCGCGGUAAUACGGAGGGUGCAAGCGUUAAUCGGAAUUACUGGGCGUAAAGCGCACGCAGGCGGUUUGUUAAGUCAGAUGUGAAAUCCCCGGGC